rnacentral:rRNA from 1 species
UAGGGAAUCUUCCACAAUGGACGCAAGUCUGAUGGAGCAACGCCGCGUGAGUGAAGAAGGUUUUCGGACCGUAAAGCUCUGUUGUUGGUGAAGAAGGAUAGAGGUAGUAACUGGCCUUUAUUUGACGGUAAUCAACCAGAAAGUCACGGCUAACUACGUGCCAGCAGCCGCGGUAAUACGUAGGUGGCAAGCGUUGUCCGGAUUUAUUGGGCGUAAAGCGAGCGCAGGCGGAAGAAUAAGUCUGAUGUGAAAGCCCUCGGCUUAACCGAGGAAUUGCAUCGGAAACUGUUUUCUUGAGUGCAGAAGAGGAGAGUAGAACUCCAUGUGUAGCGGUGGAAUGCGUAGAUAUAUGGAAGAAUACCAGUGGCGAAGGCGGCUCUCUGGUCUGCAACUGACGCUGAGGCUCGAAAGCAUGGGUAGCGAACAGGAUUAGAUACCCUGGUAGUCCAUGCCGUAAACGAUGAGUGCUAGUGUUGGGAGGCUUCCGCCUCUCAGUGCUGCAGCUAACGCAUUAAGCACUCCGCCUGGGGGAGUACGACCGCAAGGUUGAAAC